UCAUCCAACCACUAGUGCCGUUACUACUACCACUAGCUUACUGUGUUUGGAGCUCGGCCGUGCAACCGGUUCAACAGACAGGUUAAGAAAUCUGGAAAUAGCCACUCUGCUGCUAAGUGGAGAAUCGAUCCAAGGGUAGAAUUUUACGAGUGGGAAAGGCCAAGAAUGGCACCUCCAACAGAUGUGACAGCAGCACGGGAGGAGUCAGGGCGAAGCCCUACUGUUUCCCACCGCCAGGGCCACCCUAUGUUGUGCCAAGCGCCACCACCCAGAGGAUAGGGGUCAGAUGCCUGAGCGUCUCAGGGGCAGUGAGGCCUGCGGGGCUGGGCCAAACCACAACCCGAAGACCUGGCGCAGCUCUGCGGCCUUGGAAAGCGCGCGGGGUCCCACUGAGAGUCUGCGAAACUAGCACCUGGGGAGCCUGUGGCCAGCACAGUUCCAGACAAGAGCCCUCUUCCAUAACGGGGGAGGCUGAGGCAGGGGGCGUCUAGGUUAGUCUGGCUCCCUCAUUCGGGGCAGGCAGGCAGGCAGGCAGGAGCCGGGCCGCGCGGAGAAAGUAA